CAAGCCCUCCCCUUUCUGAGGUAAUCCAAUCUUCACAACGACAAAUGGUGGAAAAUCAGAGGCAGCAGAAGUGAGUGCUUCUGUGAAAUCCUGUAUCAGCGAGAAGAUGAAGAUGCUGAAGGAGCAGACAGUCACUGGAUCAUUCCAAGUUUUUGCUGUUUGGAGAGUGCAGAUGUCUGAGGGUCUGGGUGACUGCUUCAGAUUUUGGUGUGAUAUUUGGCCUGUUAGCACUGAAUAUCCAGAUAAAUAGAGGUACACCUUUAAGGCAGAAGAGUUUGCUGGACUUGGAGAAACAUUCUGAAUUUAUGAGCUGAGAACCAAACAGAUCGAGUAACUGACUAAUUAUUCGAAUUUGAUUAACAUCAUAAUUAAUGUUGUUCCAGGACUGUCAUUGAAAGUGACCAGUCACCUUGUUGUGAUCUCAUAGCUUUGCAAAAGACAGCAGUGGACAGCCACUGACUAUAUUCAACUUAUUCUCCUUUGCUCAGAGCUAUAUUUUCAGUAAGAAAAUAUCAGCAAGACUCAUGAGCGAACAACUAUUCCAGUGUCAACAACCUUUAGAGUGUACCCUGCCUCUCGCCCGAUGGCAAUUAAGAUAGGCCCCAGCCCCCUGUGAAUCUACACUGGAUGGUCUGAAGAGGAUGGAUAAAUAGCAACGCCUUGGAUCAUGACCCUGGAUCUGAUGCACUCCCUUCAAAAGUGUAGUAGAUGGACUCAGCUGGCAUCUUUCUUUUUGUCGAUUUUGGAAAUGUUGACGCCAAUACCUCCAUUGAUUUUUGUUUUUUGUUUUAAGAAGGGAUGCGCCACAAAAUAUCUGCUGAAUAUUGGUCCUGUUGAUUAAUAAUGUAUCCAUAAAUAUAAAUAUUUGUGAGUUCCCAAUAUUGAACUUGUGUCAUAUCAGUUUGACACUGCCAAAUUUUUCAGUUUGUUUUACAUUAAAAACUUUUUUCUGCCACUAAA